UGGGGAAUAUUGGACAAUGGGCGCAAGCCUGAUCCAGCCAUACCGCGUGGGUGAAGAAGGCCUUCGGGUUGUAAAGCCCUUUUGUUGGGAAAGAAAAGCAGCUGGCUAAUACCCGGUUGUUCUGACGGUACCCAAAGAAUAAGCACCGGCUAACUUCGUGCCAGCAGCCGCGGUAAUACGAAGGGUGCAAGCGUUACUCGGAAUUACUGGGCGUAAAGCGUGCGUAGGUGGUUGUUUAAGUCUGUUGUGAAAGCCCUGGGCUCAACCUGGGAAUUGCAGUGGAUACUGGACGACUAGAGUGUGGUAGAGGGUAGUGGAAUUCCCGGUGUAGCAGUGAAAUGCGUAGAGAUCGGGAGGAACAUCCAUGGCGAAGGCAGCUACCUGGACCAACACUGACACUGAGGCACGAAAGCGUGGGGAGCAAACAGGAUUAGAUACCCUGGUAGUCCACGCCCUAAACGAUGCGAACUGGAUGUUGGGUGCAAUUUGGCACGCAGUAUCGAAGCUAACGCGUUAAGUUCGCCGCCUGGGGA
rnacentral:rRNA from 1 species